rnacentral:misc_RNA from 1 species
UCGCGCGACGGCCACCGCGUCUUCUCUUGCCUUUAUUCAGCCCCACCGUGGACUUUUCGGCGCUUGUCGUGCGUUUCAUCGGCUCACAGAGGCGCUCCGCCUGACAGCCAUGUCCCAACUAUCGAUCGUAAAGGAUCAGCUGCUUAGUAAAGGCAUCAACCACUUUGUGGUGCUAUCCAGUUCCGGUCAGGUGGUCGAGUACAGCGGCGACUUUGAGAUCAAGGAGAAGCAGGUGCUGGCGUACGCUAUUAUUCAGCAAUGCUCUGCGCUGUUUGCGAAAGGUGAAUCGAUGAAGCGAGUCACCAUGAAGUUCGACGACGUGCUUUACGUGGCGACGACUGUUCAAGAUAGUGCGAUGGUGUACGGCGUGGUGGCCAAGCGUCCCACGAACGGGGCGACGAUGUAAUGCCCGCCUGCGCACCGGCGACAGUUUGUUUGUUUCUGAAAGAAGGCGGUUGUAGGACAUGUGGUAUCGGUGUGUCUGUGAGUACCGCACCCUUCCCGUUGCCUGUAUCGGCGUCUGCCUCUCCGCUGCUUUGUCUCCCUGCGGGCGGAUCUAUUUCGCUUCUUUUGUGUUGCUUCUCCGCGUUGUUGACUAUGGAGAAGGUGAAGCGCUGUAGCGCGGCAUGCUGUCUGGGACGAAGCUCCCUCGACGCCACUCUCUGCGCCUGUUGCUUCGUUGCGCCAUUCGCAUCUGCCAAAUCAUCAGCUUUAGGCCGGGCACUGAGGUGUUCACUGCACUCCUUCGCCCUUGGGGGAUGUGCUUUGUGCGGGCAAUUGCACGUCUCAGCGCUGUGACAUGUGCUCUACCGGUGCAGUGAGCUGGGAUGCAUGACAGCUCUCCAUCCGUCACCCCCCCCUCUCUCUCCUCCUUUUCCCUUUCCCUUUCCCUUCAUUUCCUGUAUUCCUGCACGUUGGAGACUCACACGGCGUGAAGCAAAAUUGCGUGUGCUGCAAACGGGUAAUGUGAGGCUGUGCAAAUUCAACUAUCCACCAUCUUUCCUUUUCUCGCUCCCCUCCCGCUUCCCUCUCGCUUCUCUGACGCCUUCCACCUCUCCACGUGUGUGUGCGGGCGUGUGUGCGCGUCACAAG